rnacentral:rRNA from 1 species
AGGCAGCAGCAAGGAAUAUUGUGCAAUGGGCGAAAGCCUGACACAGCGACGCCGCGUGGGGGAAGAAGGCUUUCGGGUUGUAAACCCCUUUUCUCAGGGAAGAAUAAUGACGGUACCUGGGGAAUAAGUCUCGGCUAACUACGUGCCAGCAGCCGCGGUAAUACGUAGGAGGCGAGCGUUAUCCGGAUUUACUGGGCGUAAAGAGGGUGUAGGCGGCUUUUCAAGUCGGAUGUAAAAUCUCCCGGCUUAACCGGGAGGGACCAUCCGAUACUGCUGGGCUGGAGUGCAGCAGAGGGAGGUGGAAUUCCCGGUGUAGUGGUGAUAUGCGUAGAUAUCGGGAGGAACACCAGUGGCGAAAGCGGCCUCCUAGGCUGUAACUGACGCUGAGGCCCGUAAGCGUGGGGAGCAAACAGGAUUAGAUACCCCGGUAGUC